GAUGAAGAACGUAGCGAAAUGCGAUAAGUAAUGUGAAUUGCAGAAUUCAGUGAAUCAUCGAAUCUUUGAACGCACAUUCGCCCGUCAGUAUUCUGGCGGGCAUGCCUGUUCGAGCGUCAUUACGCCCCUCAAGUCCCCUGUGGACUUGGUGUUGGGGAUCGGCGAGGCUGGUUUUCCAGCACAGCCGUCCCUUAAAUUAAUUGGCGGUCUCGCCGUGGCCCUCCUCUGCGCAGUAGUAAAACACUCGCAACAGGAGCCCGGCGCGGUCCACUGCCGUAAAACCCCCCAACUUUUUAUAGUUGACCUCGAAUCAGGUAGGACUACCCGCUGAACUUAAGCAUAUCAAUAAGCGGAGGA
rnacentral:misc_RNA from 1 species